AAUUUUGAGAGUUUGAUCCUGGCUCAGAACGAACGCUGGCGGCGUGGAUUAGGCAUGCAAGUCGUACGGUCCAGCACUAAUUUUCGCAAGAAAAUUAGUGCUGGGUAGUGGCAAAAGGGUGAGUAAUGAAUGAGUAACCUGCCUUUGAGUUUGGAAUAACUCCGAGAAAUCGGGGCUAAUACCAAAUAUUGUCCCUUGGCAUAUCGUCAGGUGAUGAAAGGUGGCUUAAUUCCGAGCAAUCGGGAUGCUAUCGCUCAAAGAGGGGCUCAUUUCCUAUUAGCUUGUUGGUAGGGUAAUGGCCUACCAAGGCGAUGAUGGGUAGCUGGUCUGAGAGGAUGGUCAGCCACACUGGGACUGAGACACUGCCCAGACUCCUACGGGAGGCUGCAGUCGAGAAUCUUUCGCAAUGCCCGCAAGGGUGACGAAGCGACGC
rfam:Candidatus Omnitrophica bacterium 4484_213 ex4484_213_scaffold_412, whole genome shotgun sequence.